UACGUAGGUGGCAAGCGUUGUCCGGAUUUACUGGGCGUAAAGGAUGCGUAGGUGGAUAUUUAAGUGGGAUGUGAAAUACCCGGGCUUAACCUGGGUGCUGCAUUCCAAACUGGAUAUCUGGAGUGCAGGAGAGGUAAGUGGAAUUCCUAGUGUAGCGGUGAAAUGCGUAGAGAUUAGGAAGAACACCAGUGGCGAAGGCGGCUCACUGGUCCGGUACUGACGCUGAGGUGCGAAAGCGUGGGGAGCAAACAGG
rnacentral:rRNA from 1 species